GUGCACACACCAGGGACGAAGCUGCAGCAGACAGAGAGCAAGAGGAAAGACAUGCAGCAGCAGGGCAGAGAGCAGAAACAGACUGACACGGCGCAGAUGCAGGAUGUGGCUGGGCUAUGACAAACUCCUUGCUGUGUGGACUCUGGGUAGUUCUUUGUUUUGGUGUAUAUUCAGGACUUUCCUGUGAGUGGGGAGCAUAGCAGCAAUAUCACCUAUACUAAGGAAGAAGGCACAUGUCCCACAUGCUUGUUUCCUGGGACAGAACCCAAAUAUUUGAUCCUUGGACUUAUGAAUUUCAUCAAGAGAAGUUAAGGUAUGAGUUACAGGAAUGUGGAGGAUGAACCGAGUUCCUGGGUUUUUGACAAAAUAUGUGACUGAGACAUAAUACACAUUAGAAGAAAGUAACACAGAGUUUGGAAGGAUAGAAGACCACAGUUCAGCUAACUGGAAAUAUGGUAUCAACGUGUCUGUUUUAGAAGAGGACCAGUCCACUUGAAUGAAGUCACUGUGACUCAAACAUUAUGCUGUAAUGCUAUCCUGAAAGAGCUUCAAUAAAUCUAACCGCUUAUGAAUGCCUAGAUAACACAAAUUUGGCAAGAUCUAAAAACCAGCUAAGAUUGAUAGUGACAGUCAAAGGAGAAAGUUGUUGAAACAUUGGAAACUCUCAUGGGAUGAUGUCUGUAAAUGGUUUGAAAUAAAAUAAAUUUGAUAUCCUUGGCCA